AUGCAAGGUCACGGUUUACCUUGUGAUGUUUGCAGGGAAUUAGUUUAUAUCCUGAAAUUCGAACUGGUUUAUCGAGUUUGUGCAUGUUUGAAAAGUGUUGUCAAGGGUUUUGGAACUGUUUUGAUUGUGAACUGGCUUCUACCUUUCAUGCAGGUUUUUGUUUUGUAUGAUAGGUUGCAACGUUCCGCAUGGGCUUUGGACAACAGGGCUAUUUUUGAUUUAAUUUUGGAUAAGGCAUAA